rnacentral:lncRNA from 1 species
AAUUUAAGAGAUUAAACCAAUCGUUAAACACGUCGAUUUAAAGAAAACGCUUGCCGUGGAAAACAGCUUCGGAACGCCAUGAUGCCGAUCUCACCCCCGCCCUGGGAGUCAGGGAGUCACAGAGGGCCUGAAGAACCUUCUCUUCCCCCACGUUUCCAAACAAGAGGCUUUUAUUUAGUAAACAUCCAGUCUGUUUUUGACAGUGACCUGCUUUGCUUUGCUGUGUUUUGUUGUUUUGGUUUGGGUUUUGGUGGUGGAGGAUCUGCCCUCUGUGCUGCUGCCUGCUGGCUUCUCUCCUUGUCCGCAGGGCCUCCCCUCCCGUGUCCCUGCCUUCUCUAACCUUCUUUGUCUCCAGGGCCCUUUGAAGAUGGGCUGCUCUGCCUCCAGUCAGCAAUUUGAGGCGAGUCUCUACUUGGGGCCUUCCCACGAGGUUUCCCUCUUCCAGUCUCUGCCGUGGGUGACCCAAGAUGCAGGGGAGCGUGGGCCCAGUCGAGCCCGGGCGAGCGAGGGUGGCACCCCUUCCUGACAUUCCCACCCUGCCCAGAUCAAAGGAGCCUCCUCGGGGAGCAGGGAAGUACCUCACCCCAUAGCCCCAGCAGAGAGUAAACAGCCAGGGCCUCUCAGCUUUUGAAGCCUGGUGCUUCGGGCCCCCGAGGAAUGCAGAACAUUGCAUUUUAGGGCUAGACUUAGGUUUCCACUGCUUUCGGUAUUUGCAAAUUUGAAACAAAUGCCCUCAUUUAGCAGCAGGGCUGGCUGGGCAGUAAACGGGGCUGUUUCAGGGCGUUUAUGGCGGUCACAGGUAUUUGUGGAGAGAGGGACCCCAGCAGGUCUGGGGAAAGAUAGAAGGUUUAUGGUUAGGUGGGUUGGCCAGAGAUCCUGGGCCAGGUCUCUGGUGGUGGGGUGUCUUUAGGUGGGCUUGCCAUAAAAAGUUUCGCAGCCUCCUGCCCCUCCAGGAAGUAUCUGUCUGGCAGACAAAGGGGGUUGGAAGGGUGUUUAUCCCCAGGGACCAGUGCUCAGGGCCUCCGUCCCUCUCCCUUAGCUGCCAGAGUAUCAGGUUUCCAAUGAACCCCUUCCUCCUCUCACUUGUAGGACUUGAAAGGAUCGUUAAAUGUGCUUUAUAUAUAGUAAGUUGGCUGAGAAGUUCCCCCUCGCUUCCAGCCAGCUCUGCCGGGAGGGAGGCGCUAGCAAAACCUGUUUCCCUUUUGUUGUUGCUGGAAGUGGGACCUGCAAAGGUGCAACUGAGAAAAGACCUGGUUUUUUUUUGUUUUGUUUUGUUUUGUUUUUAAUGGGCCAAACUAAUGUUGUUGGCCUUUGAUGGGCAGCUCAACCGUGAGGGUCUGUGGGACUGCCCGCCCACCCUCUAGCGCCAAGGAAACUUCACAGAUCUGUUUAGGAGCUGAGCUCUGGCUCCGUGAUUUCUUUUAAAAAGAAUAUAUAUAUGUAUGUAUAUAUUUUUUUCUUUUUAUAUAUCUGUGUGGAGGGAGAAGCAGGAGCUUGUGCUUGCCCCGACAUGCGUGCAGGUCAGACAAUAACUUUAAGGAGCCUGUUUUCUCCUUGUGCCGAGGGUUCAAGGGAUUGAAUUCAUGGCUUACACGGCAGCCAUCUUUACAGGUUAAGUCAUUUGCUUGGCUUUGCGCCAUGGUUUCUUUACUAAUAGAACGGACAACUUGCUGUUUCCUCUUGAGUGAUAGAGAUGGCCUUCCCAGUGCCAUUCGAAUUGGGAGAGAGAGUACAGGCCCCGUCUCUCCAUCUCUAUGCGCACCUCUCACGUUACCACCAUCUUUAAAUGAGGAUCUAACACAGUCGGCGAGGCAGCAUUUGGUUCACAUUUUCCUUGAGUCCAUUAAAUAAUGGUCCACAUUAAAAUCAAUGGCACUGUUGAAACGUAGGAAGGACUUAGCCUGUGAUCUCUACUGAGGGCCGUAAAAGGGUUGUCACUGAUGGUGGUGAUGAAUUUAUGGGGCUGUUUGUGUUCCCACCUUCUAGUGACUUUCAAUAGGAGCUGUUUCCUCCAAUCUGACAGGUAAGUAUCAAGUUAUCAAGUGAGGCCGGUAUCUAAGCUCUGUGUGUGUGUGUGUGUGUGUGUGCAAGCCGACAGGGCACUUUGAAGCCUUGGGAAAGCAAGGGGAUGGGCUAUGUCCUAAGCCGGCAAAACUGUUCAUUAAGGGAAGAACGAGCCUGUGGUUACUGGAGUCUUCAUGUUAAAACCUGGGCUGUUCCUGCGGGAGGUUGGAGACUCAUUCCAGGAAUGAAUGUCUUCUGGGUGAAUUAGGACAGAGCAGGACUGAGUAACAAGCCGGGGUUUCAGAGAAGGGCUCAGGGAAGGUCCAGGAAGUUCAGGGCCUGGAGACCUGAGGGGGACAGGCAGGAGACAGGCAGGAGGCCACAGUCACAGCCUUUCCCUCCAUUGGAGACACACGAGUGUGGGGUUGAUCCUGAGGGGCAGCUGGGGCCCUUCAUUCUGUUUUGUGCUGCCUAGAUCGAUUGGAUUGUGUCUUUCCUACUCUGGGAGACCCAAGUAGCCCAAAGCCCAGGAAGUCUGUAUACUGGGAGAGGGGAAGGGGGAGCCAGGAUAUUUAUUGUGCAUGUGAAGCAAACGCUGCCACUGUGCCCUCCUGGACACUCAUGGGGUGGUCUUGUCGUUUUUUAUUUUCUUGAUGAUAUUGUCGAUCCAAGAGCAUGUAUACUUUACCACUGAGCUAGGCACUGUCUCUCUCUUCUCUCUUCCCUUCCCUCUCCCUUCCCUCUCCCUCUCCCUCUCCCUCUCCCUCUCCCUCUCUCUUUCUCCCCCUCCCUCCCUCCCUCCCUCCCUCCCUCUCUCUCUCUCUCUUUCUUUUUUUUUUAAACUUCUUGAGACAGGCUUCACAGUUAACCUAGGUUGACCUUGAAUUCAUUCUUUGUCCAGGCAAGCCUUAAUGUGUAAUUCUCCUGCCUCGAUCUCCUGAGCAUGUGGGGCCACAGACCUGUGCCACCAGGGCCUGUUUCCGAUAGAAAUUCUUACCUUGGCUGAGUUCUGGAUCGUGUGGUGAAGGGACAUGUGUGCUAUGGAAGAUGAGAAGCAAAGCUCCCUUUGUCAAGACCAGAGCUUGUGGGGUCACUUCAGGAAGGCCUGGACACUCCACCAUGGAGGGGCUCUGGGAUGGUCUUCCUGUCAGUGACAGAAUCCUAAUUCUGGGAAGGUGCACCUUGGUGGUAAGGGGGUGAUUAGUGGCUCACCCAGAAGGCAGGCAUGCAACAUGUGUUCCAAGGCCCAGUAGAUGGGGAAUGCACAUGUAUGUAUGUUCAGGUAUGUGAGUACAGAGACACUUGAAUACCCUGCUCCCGCCCUCCCUCGGCCUUAUUCCCUUGACACAGGUCUUUCCCUCAGUCUGGCUUUCACUGGUUUUUUGGUUUUUUGGUUGAGGCAGGCUGGUCAUCAAGUCCUAGUGACUCUUUUCUCUUAUCCGGAGCUAGCGUUACAGGGAUGCCCGGCUUUUCAAAAACAUCACAGUGGCUGGGCGUGUGGUGCACGUCUUUAAUUCCGGCAGAGGCAGGCAGAUCUCUGUGAGUUUGAGGCCGGACUGGUUCUACAAAGUGAUUCCCAGGACAGCCAAGGCAGUUACACAGAGAAACCCUGUCCUGAAAAUCC